GGACCCACCUGACUCCAUUCCGAACUCAGAAGUGAAACGAAAUAGCGCCGAUGGUAGUGUGGGGCUUCCCCAUGUGAGAGUAGGACAUCGCCAGGC
rnacentral:rRNA from 1 species